rnacentral:rRNA from 1 species
AUUGAACGCUGGCGGCAGGCCUAACACAUGCAAGUCGAGCGGAGGGGGGGACGGGUGAGUAAUGCCUAGGAAUCUGCCUGGGAGUGGGGGAGAGCGAUCGCUAAUGGGCACGAAUACCGCAUCCUAUCAGAUGCGCCUAGGGCGGAUUAGCUAUCUGGUGGGGUAAAGGUCUACCAAGGCGACGAUCCGUAACUGGUCUGAGAGGAUGAUCAGUCACACUGGAACUGAGACACGGUCCAGACUCCUACGGGAGGCAGCAGUGGGGAAUAUUGGACAAUGGGCGAAAGCCUGAUCCAGCCAUGCCGCGUGUGUGAAGAAGGUCUUCGGAUUGUAAAGCACUUUAAGUUGGGAGGCGUUACCAGCAGAAUAAGCACCGGCUAACUUCGUGCCAGCAGCCGCGGUAAUAC